rnacentral:rRNA from 1 species
CACGCCGUAAACGAUGGGUGCUAGGUGUCGCGGGCUUUGACUCCUGCGGUGCCGUAGCCAACGCAUUAAGCACCCCGCCUGGGAAGUACGGCCGCAAGGCUAAAACUCAAAGGAAUUGACGGGGGCCCGCACAAGCGGUGGAGCAUGUGGUUUAAUUCGACGCAACGCGAAGAACCUUACCUGGGCUAGAAAACGCGAGAACCUGGUAGAAGUAUCGGGGUGCUCUUCGGAGAAUUCGUGGUUAGGUGC